rnacentral:rRNA from 1 species
GAGUUUGAUCCUGGCUCAGAGUGAACGCUGGCGGCGUGCCUAAUACAUGCAAGUCGAACGAUGAAGCUUCUAGCUUGCUAGAGUGCUGAUUAGUGGCGCACGGGUGAGUAACGCAUAGGUUAUGUGCCUCUUAGUUUGGGAUAGCCAUUGGAAACGAUGAUUAAUACUAGAUACUCCCUACGGGGGAAAGAUUUAUCGCUAAGAGAUCAGCCUAUGUCCUAUCAGCUUGUUGGUAAGGUAAUGGCUUACCAAGGCUAUGACGGGUAUCCGGCCUGAGAGGGUGAACGGACACACUGGAACUGAGACACGGUCCAGACUCCUACGGGAGGCAGCAGUAGGGAAUAUUGCUCAAUGGGGGAAACCCUGAAGCAGCAACGCCGCGUGGAGGAUGAAGGUUUUAGGAUUGUAAACUCCUUUUGUUAGAGAAGAUAAUGACGGUAUCUAACGAAUAAGCACCGGCUAACUCCGUGCCAGCAGCCGCGGUAAUACGGAGGGUGCAAGCGUUACUCGGAAUCACUGGGCGUAAAGAGCGCGUAGGCGGGAUAGUCAGUCAGGUGUGAAAUCCUAUGGCUUAACCAUAGAACUGCAUUUGAAACUACUAUUCUAGAGUGUGGGAGAGGUAGGUGGAAUUCUUGGUGUAGGGGUAAAAUCCGUAGAGAUCAAGAGGAAUACUCAUUGCGAAGGCGACCUGCUGGAACAUUACUGACGCUGAUUGCGCGAAAGCGUGGGGAGCAAACAGGAUUAGAUACCCUGGUAGUCCACGCCCUAAACGAUGGAUGCUAGUUGUUGGAGGGCUUAGUCUCUCCAGUAAUGCAGCUAACGCAUUAAGCAUCCCGCCUGGGGAGUACGGUCGCAAGAUUAAAACUCAAAGGAAUAGACGGGGACCCGCACAAGCGGUGGAGCAUGUGGUUUAAUUCGAAGAUACACGAAGAACCUUACCUAGGCUUGACAUUGAGAGAAUCCGCUAGAAAUAGUGGAGUGUCUGGCUUGCUAGACCUUGAAAACAGGUGCUGCACGGCUGUCGUCAGCUCGUGUCGUGAGAUGUUGGGUUAAGUCCCGCAACGAGCGCAACCCCCUUUCUUAGUUGCUAACAGGUUAUGCUGAGAACUCUAAGGAUACUGCCUCCGUAAGGAGGAGGAAGGUGGGGACGACGUCAAGUCAUCAUGGCCCUUACGCCUAGGGCUACACACGUGCUACAAUGGGGUGCACAAAGAGAAGCAAUACUGCGAAGUGGAGCCAAUCUUCAAAACACCUCUCAGUUCGGAUUGUAGGCUGCAACUCGCCUGCAUGAAGCUGGAAUCGCUAGUAAUCGCAAAUCAGCCAUGUUGCGGUGAAUACGUUCCCGGGUCUUGUACUCACCGCCCGUCACACCAUGGGAGUUGUGUUUGCCUUAAGUCAGGAUGCUAAAUUGGCUACUGCCCACGGCACACACAGCGACUGGGGUGAAGUCGUAACAAGGUAACCGUAGGUGAACCUGCGGUUGGAUCACC